rnacentral:tRNA from 1 species
GCCUGGGUGGCUCAGUCGGUUGAGGGACUGACUUCGGCUCAGGUCAUGAUCUCACAGUUUGUGGGUUCAAGCCCCACGUCGGGCU